rnacentral:rRNA from 1 species
GAUGAACGCUGGCGGCGUGCCUAAUACAUGCAAGUCGAGCGAACAGACGAGGAGCUUGCUCCUCUGACGUUAGCGUCGGACGGGUGAGUAACACGUGGAUAACCUACCUAUAAGACUGGGAUAACUUCGGGAAACCGGAGCUAAUACCGGAUAAUAUAUUGAACCGCAUGGUUCAAUAGUUAAAGACGGUUUUGCUGUCACUUAUAGAUGGAUCCGCUCCGCAUUAGCUAGUUGGUAAGGUAACGGCUUACCAAGGCAACGAUGCGUAGCCGACCUGAGAGGGUGAUCGGCCACACUGGAACUGAGACACGGUCCAGACUCCUACGGGAGGCAGCAGUAGGGAAUCUUCCGCAAUGGGCGAAAGCCUGACGGAGCAACGCCGCGUGAGUGAUGAAGGUCUUCGGAUCGUAAAACUCUGUUAUUAGGGAAGAACAAAUGUGUAAGUAACUAUGCACGUCUUGACGGUACCUAAUCAGAAAGCCACGGCUAACUACGUG